UACGGAGGAUGCAAGCGUUAUCCGGAUUCAUUGGGUUUAAAGGGUGCGCAGGCGGGCUUUUAAGUCAGUGGUGAAAGUCUGUCGCUUAACGGUAGGAUUGCCAUUGAUACUGUUAGACUUGAAUAUGGAUGAGGUAGGCGGAAUGUGUAGUGUAGCGGUGAAAUGCAUAGAUAUUACACAGAACACCGAUUGCGAAGGCAGCUUACUAAUCCAUCAUUGACGCUGAGGCACGAAAGCGUGGGGAUCAAACAGGA
rnacentral:rRNA from 1 species